rnacentral:rRNA from 1 species
CAGCACCUCAAGUGGUCAGGAUGAUUAUUGGGCCUAAAGCAUCCGUAGCCGGCUCUGUAAGUUUUCGGUUAAAUCUGUACGCUCAACGUACAGGCUGCCGGGAAUACUGCAGCGCUAGGGAGUGGGAGAGGUAGACGGUACUCGGUAGGAAGGGGUAAAAUCCUUUGAUCUAUUGAUGACCACCUGUGGCGAAGGCGGUCUACCAGAACACGUCCGACGGUGAGGGAUGAAAGCUGGGGGAGUAAACCGGAUUAGAUACCCGAGUAGUCC